AGAGAUGCACUGGGUAUAAAGCGUGCGCAGGCGGUUUUGUAAGACAGAGGUGAAAUCCCCGGGCUCAACCUGGGAACUGCCUUUGUGACUGCAAGGCUAGAGUACGGCAGAGGGGGAUGGAAUUCCGCGUGUAGCAGUGAAAUGCGUAGAUAUGCGGAGGAACACCGAUGGCGAAGGCAAUCCCCUGGGCCUGUACUGACGCUCAUGCACGAAAGCGUGGGGAGCAAACA
rnacentral:rRNA from 1 species